rnacentral:lncRNA from 1 species
CAGUUGAGAGACUCUCCUCCCCAGACCAGCCCUAGUGUUGGUACAGGAGCAACCGACACCAAAAAGAAGAAAAUAAAUAAUGGCACUAACCCUGAGACAACCACUUCUGGUGGUUGCCACUCACCUGAGGAUGAAAAGAAGGCAAGCCACCAACAUCAGGAAGCCCUAAGGAGGGAGCUAGAGGUGAGUGGAGGGUUCAUACCAUACGAAUCCUUACAUGUCAGAAAACUGAGCUUCAGACAGCACUCUAUUACAGCCAGCAUGCUGCCAGGCAGUUGGAAGGUGGGAAUCUGAGUCCAGGGAUCUGGUCAGCUGCCUGCAUGAUUCAUGGAAGUUUGCAGGAGAGUUAGAGCGGGCUCUCUCUGCUGUCACUACACAGAAGAAGAAGGCGGACA